UGUGUGUUUGCUCAUGUUUCUAGUGUGACCAAUAUGAAGAUGAAGUCCAGAACUUGGUGCCACAAUUAAACGGUAAAGAGGACAAACUGGAAGACUUGAGGAAAGUAAAGACCAUUCUUGCCAGAGCUGGAAAGGAAAUGAAGCUGUACAAACAACGACUAGAAGAAGAAAAAAUCAAAAACAAACAGCUGUUGCAGAAUCAGAAUCAGUUGAAACAAGAGAUGCAAAAGAUGCAGAAAGGAAUGAUUUAUAAUGCAUGGCAGCAGAAUGGCAAUAACCAGAGCAACAGUAAUAAUAAGUGUGAUAUUAACUGUGCCAAUAGCGACACUCACCAGCUGCACAAAGAGGUUACCGAUCUAAAGAUGGCGCUGUUUGCUGCCAACGAACGGCAGGAGGUAUUGCAGAGAAAAUACGAAGAUCGCAAACUUCGGAUCCGUGCAAAAUUCCUGAGAGCCAGGCAAUUACACAACCAGGAAAAGAUGCUUAUGAAGGAACAACUUCGCCACCUGGGAGAGGACUUGCUGGUCACUCGGUCGAUGUUUAACAAGGAGCAUGAACUGCGUGAAGAGCGAGAAGCCAGUUACAAGAAACUGGCCAAUGAACGCCGAGAGCUUCUCUCAAAAAAUGGAGAGCAAGUGGAGAUCAUCCGCGAACUGACUCGAUCUCAGUCGAGACUGGAGGUUCAGUCAAAAUUCCUUGAAGAAGAAAACAAACGUCUCCAGGAGAAACUGAUUGCAGUCAAUCACAGACAGAGUCUGUCACAACGUGCCAAUCACAAUUUGAUAUACCCUCACCAGUUAACAAGCUCGAAAUCUUUAGAGUUUGAUGCCAUUUUUGAGAGGCCACUGUCUCACUUAAACAAAGGGACUUUGCCUGACAUGAAACCAUCCUUCCAGACAGAUAGCAGCCACAUACGCCAAAUAGAACUGAACCAGACGGAAGACGAAUACGAUAUAUGAACCUUAUGUAUCUAACAUUCAUUAGACUGCUGUGGCCAUGAAUUGAUCUGAGUUUAUCUUUUUGUUAAACUUGGUACUUCUUUUAUCGGCUUCUUUUGCUGAACUACUAUGUUACGGGGAUGUAAACAAACCAACACCAGUGAUGAUCUCAGAAUGACAUUGUAGAAUAGUUGUGAGAGGCUGAAUCUGGCUGGCUUGAAUAUAAAACAGAAGAUGGUGUGAUUUGGUUUUUCUCAGAUGGGAAAAACUUUGAGCAGGAUCAGAAAACUAACACAAGAAAUGACAGAUGGCUAUGUGCAGACCCUUCUGAGAUUCCGAGAAUAAUGCACACAAAAAUUCUUCUAAGUAUCAUGGUUUUGGGUGUUGUUAGCAGUGAAGGACAUGUGAUGCCUUGUCACUUUUUUCCACAAGGCCUUAGGGUGAAUGCUGCUGUGUAUGUUGAGGUUAUGGUUAAAAUUGUUAAGCCUUGGAUAAACAGUGUAUGCAAUGGAAGGCCUUAUGUCUUUCAACAAGAUUCUGCACCAUCACACAAGGCUCAAAUGACACGAGAAUGGAUUACCGACAAUUUGCAUGAUCACAUCACCCCGAACAUUUAGCAUUCUAAUUCUCCACAUCUCGAUGCUAAUUCCUAAAAAGGGGGUCAUAACACUGAAAUACUGAAUGCAAGGUAAGUCACCAUUAAUU